CACCACAGCCUAGGACAGGGAAUCGGGAGUCACCGAAGGGGGGGUCCUAGGCGGAAGGAGGUAGCCCUGAGCCAGCCAGGCCCCGCGGGCGGGUCCCUCUCGGGCCGAGGAGGCGGCCUGGGCGCGCUAACGAGCGGAGAGCCCCAGCAACGAGAGAUCUGUUGCCCCAGGGUGAGGAAGCGAAGGCACAGAAGAGCUGAAGCGAUUUGCCCACAGUCACAAGUUCAGCCCACGCAGGUUCUGUCCCAGCAUCGUGAGUAGCUGCCUCUCCUAGCCAUACCUGAGAAAUCGAAGAAGAAGUUUCUAGGCCUAAAGCCACUGCCACAACCCGCGUUUGUUUCUUUCUUUUUUUUUUUUUUUUGGAGACGGACUCUUGCUCUAUAGCCCAGGAGGGAGCCCAUCUCGGCUCACUGCAACCUCCGGCUCCUGGGUUCAAGCGAUUCUCCUGCUACAGCCUCCCGAGUAGCUGGGAUUACAGACACACACCACCAUGCCCGGCUAAUUUUUGCAGUUUUAAUAGAGACAGGGUUUCCCUAUGUUGGCCAGGCUGGUCUCGAACUCCUGGCCUCAAGUGAUCCCAUUGCCUCGGCCUCCAAAAGUGCUGGGAUGACAGGCGUGAGCCACCACACCCAGCCCACAACCCUCAUUUCUGUCAGGCCUCCCAGAAGCUCCUACUGUCAGUGCAGGCAGCUGCUUGGAAGUCAUUCUAGGCCACCCCUUCCAUUUCCCAGGUAGGUGAACCAAGACCAUUCAGGUGCGAGGCUGGCCUGAGUCAGAGAUGGCCUGGGAGAGCCUUUGGGGGGCAGGGAGGGUUCAGUCCCCUCAGGCCUGGCUGUGUCCCCUGCCCCCCACCCACAAUCAGGCCCAGGGUUGGGGGGUGCACA